rnacentral:misc_RNA from 1 species
GAUGAAGAACGUAGCGAAAUGCGAAAAGUAGUGUGAAUUGCAGAAUUCAGUGAAUCAUCGAAUCUUUGAACGCACAUUGCGCCCCUUGGUAUUCCGAGGGGCAUGCCUGUUCGAGCGUCAUUAUCACCCCUCAAGCUUUGCUUGGUGUUGGGGCCUGCUGUAAUAGGCAGCCCUUAAAAUCAGUGGCGGUGCUUCAAGGCUCUAAGCGUAGUAAUUCUCCUCGCUAUAGUGUCUAGUGGUUGCCAGCCAGAACCCCCCAAUUUUCAUGAUUGACCUCGGAUCAGGUAGGGAUACCCGCUGAACUUAAGCAUAUCAAUAAGCGGAGGA